rnacentral:rRNA from 1 species
ACUAAGCGUACACGGUGGAUGCCCUGGCAGUCAGAGGCGAUGAAGGACGUGCUAAUCUGCGAAAAGCGUCGGUAAGGUGAUAUGAACCGUUAUAACCGGCGAUGUCCGAAUGGGGAAACCCAGUGUGAUUCGUCACACUAUCGUUAACUGAAUACAUAGGUUAACGAGGCGAACCGGGGGAACUGAAACAUCUAAGUACCCCGAGGAAAAGAAAUCAACCGAGAUUCCCCCAGUAGCGGCGAGCGAACGGGGAGCAGCCCAGAGUCUGAAUCAGCUUGUGUGUUAGUGGAACGGUCUGGAAAGUCCGACGGUACAGGGUGAUAGUCCCGUACACCAAAAUGCACAGGUUGUGAACUCGAAGAGUAGGGCGGGACACGUGGUAUCCUGUCUGAAUAUGGGGGGACCAUCCUCCAAGGCUAAAUACUCCUGACUGACCGAUAGUGAACCAGUACCGUGAGGGAAAGGCGAAAAGAACCCCGGCGAGGGGAGUGAAAAAGAACCUGAAACCGUGUACGUACAAGCAGUGGGAGCACCUUCGGGUGUGACUGCGUACCUUUUGUAUAAUGGGUCAGCGACUUAUAUUCUGUAGCAAGGUUAACCGUAUAGGGGAGCCGCAGGGAAACCGAGUCUUAACUGGGCGUUAAGUUGCAGGGUAUAGACCCGAAACCCGGUGAUCUAGCCAUGGGCAGGUUGAAGGUUGGGUAACACUAACUGGAGGACCGAACCGACUAAUGUUGAAAAAUUAGCGGAUGACUUGUGGCUGGGGGUGAAAGGCCAAUCAAACCGGGAGAUAGCUGGUUCUCCCCGAAAGCUAUUUAGGUAGCGCCUCGUGAACUCAUCUUCGGGGGUAGAGCACUGUUUCGGCUAGGGGGUCAUCCCGACUUACCAACCCGAUGCAAACUACGAAUACCGAAGAAUGUUAUCACGGGAGACACACGGCGGGUGCUAACGUCCGUCGUGAAGAGGGAAACAACCCAGACCGCCAGCUAAGGUCCCAAAGUCAUGGUUAAGUGGGAAACGAUGUGGGAAGGCACAGACAGCCAGGAUGUUGGCUUAGAAGCAGCCAUCAUUUAAAGAAAGCGUAAUAGCUCACUGGUCGAGUCGGCCUGCGCGGAAGAUGUAACGGGGCUAAACCAUGCACCGAAGCUGCGGCAGCGACACUAUGUGUUGUUGGGUAGGGGAGCGUUCUGUAAGCCUGCGAAGGUGUGCUGUGAGGCAUGCUGGAGGUAUCAGAAGUGCGAAUGCUGACAUAAGUAACGAUAAAGCGGGUGAAAAGCCCGCUCGCCGGAAGACCAAGGGUUCCUGUCCAACGUUAAUCGGGGCAGGGUGAGUCGACCCCUAAGGCGAGGCCGAAAGGCGUAGUCGAUGGGAAACAGGUUAAUAUUCCUGUACUUGGUGUUACUGCGAAGGGGGGACGGAGAAGGCUAUGUUAGCCGGGCGACGGUUGUCCCGGUUUAAGCAUGUAGGCUGAUUGUCCAGGCAAAUCCGGAUAAUCAAGGCUGAGGUGUGAUGACGAGGCACUACGGUGCUGAAGUAACAAAUGCCCUGCUUCCAGGAAAAGCCUCUAAGCAUCAGGUAACAUCAAAUCGUACCCCAAACCGACACAGGUGGUCAGGUAGAGAAUACCAAGGCGCUUGAGAGAACUCGGGUGAAGGAACUAGGCAAAAUGGUGCCGUAACUUCGGGAGAAGGCACGCUGGUGUGUAGGUGAAGUCCCUGCGGAUGGAGCUGAGACCAGUCGAAGAUACCAGCUGGCUGCAACUGUUUAUUAAAAACACAGCACUGUGCAAACACGAAAGUGGACGUAUACGGUGUGACGCCUGCCCGGUGCCGGAAGGUUAAUUGAUGGGGUUAUCCGUAAGGAGAAGCUCUUGAUCGAAGCCCCGGUAAACGGCGGCCGUAACUAUAACGGUCCUAAGGUAGCGAAAUUCCUUGUCGGGUAAGUUCCGACCUGCACGAAUGGCGUAAUGAUGGCCAGGCUGUCUCCACCCGAGACUCAGUGAAAUUGAACUCGCUGUGAAGAUGCAGUGUACCCGCGGCAAGACGGAAAGACCCCGUGAACCUUUACUAUAGCUUGACACUGAACAUUGAGCCUUGAUGUGUAGGAUAGGUGGGAGGCUUUGAAGCGUGGACGCCAGUCUGCGUGGAGCCAACCUUGAAAUACCACCCUUUAAUGUUUGAUGUUCUAACGUUGGCCCCUUACCGGGGUUGCGGACAGUGUCUGGUGGGUAGUUUGACUGGGGCGGUCUCCUCCCAAAGCGUAACGGAGGAGCACGAAGGUUAGCUAAUCCUGGUCGGACAUCAGGAGGUUAGUGCAAUGGCAUAAGCUAGCUUGACUGCGAGCGUGACGGCGCGAGCAGGUGCGAAAGCAGGUCAUAGUGAUCCGGUGGUUCUGAAUGGAAGGGCCAUCGCUCAACGGAUAAAAGGUACUCCGGGGAUAACAGGCUGAUACCGCCCAAGAGUUCAUAUCGACGGCGGUGUUUGGCACCUCGAUGUCGGCUCAUCACAUCCUGGGGCUGAAGUAGGUCCCAAGGGUAUGGCUGUUCGCCAUUUAAAGUGGUACGCGAGCUGGGUUUAGAACGUCGUGAGACAGUUCGGUCCCUAUCUGCCGUGGGCGCUGGAGAAUUGAGGGGGGCUGCUCCUAGUACGAGAGGACCGGAGUGGACGCAUCACUGGUGUUCGGGUUGUCAUGCCAAUGGCACUGCCCGGUAGCUAAAUGCGGAAGAGAUAAGUGCUGAAAGCAUCUAAGCACGAAACUUGCCCCGAGAUGAGUUCUCCCUGAGACUUUAAGUCUCCUGAAGGAACGUUGAAGACGACGACGUUGAUAGGCCGGGUGUGUAAGCGCAGCGAUGCGUUGAGCUAACCGGUACUAAUGAACCGUGAGGCUUAACC